rnacentral:rRNA from 1 species
UACGGGAGGCAGCAGUGGGGAAUAUUGCACAAUGGGCGAAAGCCUGAUGCAGCUAUGCCGCGUGUAUGAAGAAGGCCUUAGGGUUGUAAAGUACUUUCAUCGGGGAGGAAAAAACAAAACUAAUAAUUUUAUUUCUUGACGUUACCCGAAAAAGAAGCACCGGCUAACUCCGUGCCAGCAGCCGCGGUAAUACGGAGGGUGCUAGCGUUAAUCAGAAUUACUGGGCGUAAAGAGCACGUAGGUGGUUUUUUUAAGUCAGAUGUGAAAUCCCUGGGCUUAACCUGGAACUGCAUUUUGAAACUGAAAUACUAGAGUAUCGUAGAGGGAGGUAGAAUUCUAGGUGUAGCGGUGAAAUGCGUAGAUAUCUGGAGGAAUACCUGUGGCGAAAGCGGCCUCUAAACGAAUACUGACACUGAGGUGCGAAAGCGUGGGGAGCGAAACAGGGAUUAGGAUACC